rnacentral:rRNA from 1 species
GAUGAACGCUGGCGGCGUGCCUAAUACAUGCAAGUCGAGCGAACAGACGAGAGUGCUUGCACUCUCUGACGUUAGCGGCGGACGGGUGAGUAACACGUGGGUAACCUACCUAUAAGACUGGGAUAACUUCGGGAAACCGGAGCUAAUACCGGAUAAUAUUUAGCUUCGCAUGAAGCAAUAGUGAAAGACGGUUCUGCUGUCACUUAUAGAUGGACCCGCGGUGUAUUAGCUAGUUGGUGAGGUAACGGCUCACCAAGGCAACGAUACAUAGCCGACCUGUGAGGGUGCUCGGCCACACUGGGACGGAGACACGGCCCAGACUCCUACGGGAGGCAGAAGUAGGGAAUCUUCCGCAAUGGACGAAAGUCUGACGGAGCAAUGCCGCGUGAGUGAAGAAGGUUUUCGGAUCGUAAAACUCUGUUGUAAGGGAAGAACAAGUACGUGAGUAACUGAACGUACCUUGACGGUACCUUACCAGAAAGCCACGGCUAACUACGUG